GACGAACGCUGGCGGCGCGCUUAACACAUGCAAGUCGAACGGAAAGGCCUGCUUUCCCUUGUGGAUUGCGGGUACUCGAGUGGCGAACGGGUGAGUAACACGUGAGUGAUCUGCCCCCAACUUGGGUAUAAGCCUGGGAAACUGGGUCUAAUUCCCGAUAGGACUGCAGGGUGGUGCCUGUGGUGGAAAACGAUUUUCUAGUGGUUGGGGAUGAGCUCGCGGCCUAUCAGCUUGUUGGUGGGGUAAUGGCCUACCAAGGCGGCGACGGGUAGCCGGCCUGAGAGGGUGGACGGCAACAUUGUGACUGAGAUACGGCCCAGACUCGUACGGGAGGCAGCAGUGGGGAAUAUUGCACAAUGGGCGGAAGCCUGAUGCAGCGACGCCGCGUGGGGGAUGACGGCCUUCGGGUUGUAAACUCCUUUCGACCGCGAGGAAGCCACCUGGUUGGAAGGGUGGUGACGGUAGUGGUAGAAGAAGCACCGGCUAACUACGUG
rnacentral:rRNA from 1 species